CGUCCUACGGGACGCAGCAGUGAGGAAUAUUGGUCAAUGGGCUUACGCCUGAACCAGCCAAGUCGCGUGAGGGAAGACGGCCCUAUGGGUUGUAAACCUCUUUUGUCAGGGAGCAACGCAGGCUACGAGUAGCCGGACUGAGAGUACCUGAAGAAAAAGCAUCGGCUAACUCCGUGCCAGCAGCCGCGGGAAUACGGGGGAGGCGAACGUUAUCCGGAUUUAUCGGGUUUAAAGGGUGCGCAGGCGGAGGUGCAAGUCAGCGGUCAAAUUGCGGGGCUCAACC
rnacentral:rRNA from 1 species